rnacentral:rRNA from 1 species
UACGGAGGGUGCAAGCGUUAUCCGGAUUCACUGGGUUUAAAGGGUGCGUAGGUGGGCAGGUAAGUCAGUGGUGAAAUCUCCAAGCUUAACUUGGAAACUGCCGUUGAUACUAUCUGUCUUGAAUGUUGUGGAGGUGAGCGGAAUAUGUCAUGUAGCGGUGAAAUGCUUAGAUAUGACAUAGAACACCAAUUGCGAAGGCAGCUCACUACACAAUUAUUGACUCUGAGGCACGAAAGCGUGGGGAUCAAACAGG